rnacentral:rRNA from 1 species
AUUGAACGCUGGCGGCAUGCCUUACACAUGCAAGUCGAACGGCAGCGGGCCCUUCGGGGUGCCGGCGAGUGGCGAACGGGUGAGUAAUGCAUCGGAACGUACCCGGGAGAGGGGGUUAACCGACCGAAAGGCUGGCUAAUACCGCAUGAACUCGGAAGAGCAAAGCGGGGGACCUUCGGGCCCCGCGCUCUCGGAGCGGCCGAUGUCCGAUUAGGCUAGUUGGUGGGGUAAAGGCCCACCAAGGCGACGAUCGGUAGCGGGUCUGAGAGGACGAUCCGCCACACUGGGACUGAGACACGGCCCAGACUCCUACGGGAGGCAGCAGUGGGGAAUCUUGGACAAUGGGCGCAAGCCUGAUCCAGCAAUGCCGCGUGGGUGAAGAAGGCCUUCGGGUUGUAAAGCCCUUUCGGCGGGGAAGAAAUCGGUCAGGCGAAUAGUCUGGCUGGAUGACGGUACCCGCAGAAGAAGCACCGGCUAACUACGUG